rnacentral:rRNA from 1 species
CGGGGAUUCCAGAGAUGGAUUCUUCCCUUCGGGGACCUACACACAGGUGCUGCAUGGCUGUCGUCAGCUCGUGUCGUGAGAUGUGGGUUAAGUCCCGCAACGAGCGCAACCCUCGCCUUUAGUUACCAUCAUUCAGUUGGGUACUCUAAAGGAACCGCCGGUGAUAAGCCGGAGGAAGGUGGGGAUGACGUCAAGUCCUCAUGGCCCUUACGCGCUGGGCUACACACGUGCUACAAUGGCAACUACAGUGGGCAGCAAUCCCGCGAGGGUGAGCUAAUCUCCAAAAAGUUGUCUCAGUUCGGAUUGUUCUCUGCAACUCGAGAGCAUGAAGGCGGAAUCGCUAGUAAUCGCGGAUCAGCACGCCGCGGUGAAUACGUUCCCAGGCCUUGUACACAC